rnacentral:tRNA from 1 species
GCCCAGGUGGUGAAAUGGAAGACGCGCUGGCUUCAGAAGCUAGUGGCCGCGAGGCCGUGAGGGUUCGAGUCCCUCUCUGGGCACCA